rnacentral:rRNA from 1 species
AUUGAACGCUGGCGGCAUGCCUUACACAUGCAAGUCGAACGGCAGCGGGGACUUCGGUCCGCCGGCGAGUGGCGAACGGGUGAGUAAAGUAUCGGAACGUACCUUUCAGUGGGGGAUAACGUAGCGAAAGUUACGCUAAUACCGCAUAUUCUGUGAGCAGGAAAGCAGGGGAUCGCAAGACCUUGCGCUGAUUGAGCGGCCGAUAUCAGAUUAGCUAGUUGGUGAGGUAAAGGCUCACCAAGGCGACGAGCUGUAGCGGGUCUGAGAGGAUGAACCGGCACACUGGAAGUGAGCCAGGGUCCAGACUCCGACGGGAGGGAGCAGUGGGGAGUUUUGGACAAGGGGGGCAAGCCUGAGCCAGCAAUACCGCGUGAGUGAAGAAGGCCUUCGGGUUGUAAAGCGCUUUCGGGCGGGAGGAAAUCGCGCAGGCUAAUACCCUGUGUGGAUGACAGUACCGGAAUAAGAAGCACCGGCUAACUACGUGCCAGCCGCCGCGGUAAUAC